UACGUAGGGUGCAAGCGUUAAUCGGAAUUACUGGGCGUAAAGCGUGCGCAGGCGGUUGUGCAAGACAGAUGUGAAAUCCCCGGGCUCAACCUGGGAAUUGCAUUUGUGACUGCACGGCUAGAGUGUGUCAGAGGGGGGUAGAAUUCCACGUGUGAGCAGUGAAAUGCGUAGAUAUGUGGAGGAAUACCGAUGGCGAAGGCAGCCCCCUGGGAUAACACUGACGCUCAUGCACGAAAGCGUGGGAGCAAACAGG
rnacentral:rRNA from 1 species